rnacentral:rRNA from 1 species
UACGGGGGGGGCAAGCGUUGUUCGGAAUUACUGGGCGUAAAGCGCGUGUAGGCGGCUUAGCAAGUCGGGUGUGAAAGCCCUCAGCUCAACUGAGGAAGUGCGCCCGAAACUGCUGAGCUUGAGUACCGGAGAGGAUGGCGGAAUUCCCCAAGUAGAGGUGAAAUUCGUAGAUAUGGGGAGGAACACCGGUGGCGAAGGCGGCCAUCUGGACGGUCACUGACGCUGAGACGCGAAAGCGUGGGGAGCAAACAGG